CCAAAGGCUCUUUUAAGAGCCACCCACUGUUUCUGGGAAAGAGCUG
rfam:Struthio camelus australis contig44118, whole genome shotgun sequence.